GACGGGGGGGGCAAGUGUUCUUCGGAAUGACUGGGCGUAAAGGGCGCGUAGGCGGAUGGUACAGUCAGAUGUGAAAUUCCCGGGCUUAACCUGGGGGCUGCAUUUGAUACGUGUUGUCUUGAGUUCGGAAGAGGGUCGUGGAAUUCCCAGUGUAGAGGUGAAAUUCGUAGAUAUUGGGAAGAACACCGGUGGCGAAGGCGGCGACCUGGUCCGACACUGACGCUGAGGCGCGAAAGCGUGGGGAGCAAACAGG
rnacentral:rRNA from 1 species